GAGUCCCUUCCUUCUCCGCCUGGCCAGGUGUGGCUUCUGGGCAGGCUCCGACCUCUGCGUGCCCUUGGUCUGGAAGCCAGCCCGGGAGCAAGCGGAAAAGCCGUGGAAACACACCCGGAUUGAAAUGCCCCUGGCCCGCCUGACCCGACCCUAGGAGAAGCAGCCGAGUUACCCGACAUCGUGGUCAGCAGGAGCUGGGUCGGUGGCUGGAUGCUGCAGCAGCAGGGACUCAGCGCCUGGGAGGGCUCCUGGGGCAGGGAGAGAAGCAGAGAUGCAACAUUUUUAAAAUUUCACAAAGCAUCCGGCUGCACCCAGGUCCCUGGAACAGGAGACAAACAGAAUUAAUGUUUUAUACCUUCGGGUAUAGGUUUGAGUUUUUUCCCCCUCAUGCCAAGUAUUUAAAACCUCUAGAAACCCAUGAUUUGACAAUCAAUGAUUGCGCGAUACUUUCAAUUUGAAUAUUCAAAGGCUUAACAAAAUGGACUAUCUUCUGCAGAAAUCCUGCACACAGGCACCCCACAGAGAGUCCAGAGAAACAGGGAGUGAGACCCCUUUGGGUCCUGGCCCUUGCUUUUAUUAUAGUUUGAGCAUUUUGUCCUCCUUCCCACAGAUAGAGCAGAUGUCCUCAAAGAUGCUCUGUAUUUCAGCCUUCAGGGCAGCUAAGAAGCCAUGAGUGACUUAGGCUGCCCUGGCCAUGAACACCGGAGCCAGACUGGCUGGCCAGACUGAUUCCCGCAUCCCCCAUCUGUGUUUUGAGGGGAAAUCUCAGGUUUUGAGGAAUGAACAUGGCAGCUAGUGGGUGUGGCACAGCAAGAAGUCGCUCUGGGCCCAGGUGGCAGGCCAGCGGCCUAGCAGAGGCCUUCGCUCUGCACCUCCUAUUUUUCUGGCUCCGCCUGGCUACCAGCGGGCUUCCCUCCCCCUUUCAUCCCGCUCUUCCUGGGCCCGACACUGGGGUUUCUGCUCAGAAUGACUGCCCAUUAAGACCCUUUCCUCCUCCCCACAGAGCUGGGGAUGCCAGGAGCCUCAUCCUCUGGAGACUUUCUGACUCUGGGUUUCACCACCGCACUGCGAAGUGCCCUCUUUGCUUUUUCGCCUUCUAGAGCCACCCCUGCCUUUUUGCUGUAGGAGCACAUGUUAGGAAACAAUGACAAGUUUGGCUCCUGCUCAUUUUAACUGAAAGGAUGUGGACUUAGGUUCAAGCCUUCUCCCAUUGGGGUGAGAAGGGGGAGGGACUUGGGAUCAGGCUUCCCCCUUGGUCCAGGCCCAAGCCCCUCACUAAUGACUUGGGAUUCUACUGGGUCAUCUUCUGUGAGUACUUACUGUGCCUCUUCCAUGUGAUUUGGAAGGUGAGGAGACAGGAAUGGUCCACAGAGGGAGAGAGUGCCAGGCCAAGUCCUCUCAUAGCCACCCGCCCCCUCCACAGAAGGGGACAGCAAGAGAAGAGAGAGGCAUGGUGAGGUUCCUUUUGCAAAUAACCAAGAUAUUUCCAGGAUUCAAGACCAGUCCAUGGUUUUAGGCCUCUGCUGUUUAUUCUCUGAGUUCUCAGAAAUGCAAAAAGUGUAGUUUAGCCCCAGAGGCCUCAAGAAAAAGAUUGGGGUGCCCCCAAAUGUGUCAAAUACAGAGGGAAACACACAGAGCUUAGGGAAAGGGCAACUGAGAAUGACAAGACUGAUAGGAAUUGCUUGGCAGCUGAAGCCACAUCUCUGGGGGAGAGGAGCAGGCCUGGGAACACCUGAGGUGGCACCUGGCAGUGGAGGGCAGGAUGGAUGUAUUGAAAUCUGACAGCUUCUGGAACUUCUUUCUACAAAUGCCCCUGAGCCUGUGUCCUAGGUUUCCCUGAUGGACCAGACCUGAGGAGGGGAAGGACAAUGGGGGUGGAGAUGGCACCUCCCCUCCCUGCAUGCCUUCUUCCUCGCUGUGCCUAGGCCUUGCCCCCUCUGAAGGAACAGUGAACCAAGCAGCUUGGAAUCUAGGGAUGGUCUCUUGUCCUCAUAGCGUCUUCCAUUACUUCUUUUCUUCGCUGCUCUCCUCCUUUUUGUUAUACUCUUAUUUUUUGAUUUGCUUUUAAAAACCUUCUUUGUUGCAUUUUUGUUUAUUUCUUUCUGUGUUUCUUUGUCUCUCUUCCUGUCAUUGCUUUCUUCCAUUUCUUAUCUGUACUACUGGUUUUCUCCCUGGCUUCACGUGUCUCUGUGUUCCCCUAUGCUGGGGUGUCCUCCCAGUGCUUUCAGGCUUCAUCUCCUUCCUAACCUCUCCUUUCUAUUUUUUUUUUUUUUUUUUUUGAGAUGGAGUCUUGCUCAGUCGCCCAGGCUGGAGUGCUAACCUCUCCUUUCAUGUGGAGAUGGACAGGGAUGGCAGGAGCACUGAGUGCUCUUGACAACACCAUUGAAGAUGAUGCUGACGAUCAGCUACCCUGUGGAGAAGGCAGGCCAGGCUGGGUGAGAGGGGAGCUCCUUGGAAGUCAGGGGGUCUGUAAGGACAGCAAGGAUCUCUUUGUCCCAACCUCCAGCAGCCUUUAUGGGUGCUUCUGUGUUGGCCUUGUUUCUGGGAUGGCCAUCUCAGUGCUGUUGCUGGCUAGCGAUUUCAGAAAACUAGAUUUUUCUAGGCCUGAGCCCUGUUUUGAGAAAGAAGCUUCCCUCUGGUUUGUAGCUCAACAUUAAUGAGUUUUGGUUCCUGUUGUUUCUAUAAUUACAAAACCCCAGCACAGGUAUUUAAGAGCCAAAGGCCAUGCUUGUGGAAGUAAGGGAGGAUCUUUCUAAAUGGAUCCUGCAAAUCCUCCUUACAGAUCUGAGUGGAUGAUCAGGCCCAGAGCAACCCUGAGACCCCAGGUACCCACAGCAUUGGCUGUUCUUCAUAGGAGACUCAGAGAAGACUUCAUAGGAGACUCAUUAUUGUUUACUGGACAUCAGGUGCUAUAUUGUAUAGCAUUCACAUUCCACAGGUGAGGAAACAGGCUCAGAGGAAUAAGUGGCAUGCCAAGAUCACUGAGUAUAUCAGUAGCAGAAUUAGGAUUCAGACUUUGUUAGGCCUAACUCCAAAGCCCUGGCUUUUUUUUUUUUUGAGAUGGAAUCUUACUCUGUCACCGGGCUGGAGUGCAGUGGCAUGAUCUCAGCUCACUGCAAUCUCUGCCUCCUGGGUUCAAGUGAUUCCCCUGCCUUAGCCUCCUGAGUAGCUGGGACUACAGGCAUGCACCACCACGCCCAGCUAAUUUUUGUGUUUUUAGUAGAGAGGAGGUUUCACCGUGUUGGCCAGGAUGGUCUCAAUCUCUUGACCUUGUGAUCUGCCUGCCUCGGCCUCCCAAAGUACUGGGAUUAUAGGCAUGAGCCACCAUGCCCGGCCUUUGCUCUUAACUACUGAUGUUGUCUUCCUGAUCUUUUCUACAAGAAGCUUUUAAACUUUUUGGACUUUAACCUACAAUAAGAAAUCCAUUUUACAUGUUCACAUGUAUCUAUAACAACAUUUAUAUUUCUAAAACAAACUUUUCAUGAAACAAGAUAUACCUACAUAUGUCAGGCACUCUGAUAUUUUCUAUUCUAGUCCACCUUUUCCAUUUCAUUCUAUUUAUGGGAAAUAUAUGUUGGUUGGGAGUCACUGAGUUAAUUUAAUGACCCACUAAUAGGCUGUGAGUGGCAUUGGAAAAAUACCUGCUUGUAAGAUAUGCGAACACACGUUUCAAGGUUGUUUGUGCAUGUGGAAAUAUUUUGGGGUGCUAUCUGUUUUACCAUCAGUUUGUACAAGGACACUAAGACAGUGUAGCCUGCUGACUUGAGAAUGUUCUGUAAGGACUGGAAACACUAGAAUCUUGAAGAAACGCCUGGCUAGAGGUGAGGGUAAGCUGUUAAUUACACUGAUUACAGUUUGUGCCUCUCAGACUGAGAACUCUUUUCUUCUUGCUGGGGGCAUUGCUAUCUCUAGGAUGUUUGCCCUGAAGUCCUGAUAGUCUCUUUGGGGUUUUAAUAAAUGGCUGAAAAAAUUGUUGUGGGGUUUCAACAGGCGUUCAUAGGCACCCUUGCUUGGCAAUAUAACAUGGCUUUUGAUGUUUGGGUGUUGGAAGGGAUCUUUGAAGUGCUGAGAGGGACUCAGUCUUUUUCCAAAAUCUCUGCUUGUGUCUGUCCAGCCUCUGGCUCCACUGCUUGGCUGAGAUCCUGGCCCAUAGUAGAAUCUGUGUAGAGGAAACGAGAGCUCACUAUUUGUGAGGCAGCCUGUUCCACUAUUGGACUGCUUUAAAUGUAGUGAUCAGUGAUUAUGCUAUAAUCCAAUCAUGUAUUAAUUGGGCACCAACUAUGCACUAGGCAUGGUAUCAAGUACCAGGAGUACAAAAAUAAGUAAACCUUGAUUUCUGCUAUCAAUUACUCUCUUCUCCUACUUCUGUACUACUGCUUUUCUAUUGUGAGUUUGUUUAGUUCAUUAAUUGGUUUAUUCAUUCAUUCAACAAUCAUAUACUGAUUAGCUACUCUGACCAGGUCCAGUACUAACUCUGAAGAAGUUAUGCCCAUCCCAUCUUCACCCCAAGCCUUCUCCUUUUGAGACUCCUCAUCCAGUUUCUUUAGUUCUUCAUAUAUCACUGUUUUUCAGAUCUCUGGCUAUCCUUGCCAUUGACCUCAGAAAUCCUGUAUUUGACCUUAACCUUCUUAUACCCAGUCCAUACCCAAAGUGAUGGAAAUGGAAUAGAUUUCUUUUUAAAGUUUUAAACGAAUAUUUUGACUGAAAAAUUUUGGCAGUCUUGUAUGCAAAUGACACUGCAGAGCAUUGUUUUCUCCCCCCCACGUAGGAGAUUUUAUUCAACUAAGGCACAGGCAUAUUAAAAGACUUUCAGUAUAAGGAAAAGGGGUAGUUUAUUCCCUCCAAAUUUGACUACAGCUCGAAAUUGUCUUUAUUAAUGCAAAGUUCUUUUGUCACCUUGACUUUGGGACACUGUUACCAAACCUCGUGGGAAAUAUCAAGUUCCAGAAGAUUGAAUACAUGCAGGAAACAAAUGUUUUUUGGGCCCUAGAGUGAACAUUUGGUCCAUAUGAAAAUGACCAGGAAGACAAUUAGGUGAAGGUUUUUUAAUGAUUUGUGCUACGUCAGUCUCUUCCCAUAAGACAUAUUCAAAGUUUUAACUUUUCCUUAAGAGGCUUCCAUGGGGAGCAAGCAUUUGAUAAUUCAUCCUUUAAGAAAAACACCACCGUACACUGCUUGAAGAGUUCCUCUUCUAUUACUUAAAACGUUUUUAUUGUGCAACAUUUAAGGCAUACAAAAACAUAUAAAGAAUACCAUGAUGAAAAUCUAUGACUGUAUUACCAAGCUUAAGAAAUAAAACAGUUGAGUGAUCUCUCAUUUAUGACUAAAUUAACUUAUUAAAACCAUUAAAACUUUUGGAUUAUUCCUGUUAA
rnacentral:lncRNA from 1 species